GUUUGAUCCUGGCUCAUAACGAACGCUGGCGGCGCGUUUUAAGCAUGCUAGUCCAACGGUAGAGGUACUUCGGUACCUUGAGAGUGGCGAACGGGUGAGUAACACGUAGAUGAUCUGCCUUGAAGUUGGGGAUAGCUCAUAGAAAUAUGGGGUAAUACCGGAUAAUAUCUAAUUGCUUUGGCGAUAUGAUGAAAGGGGCUUCGGCCUCGCUUUAAGAUGAGUCUGCGGUCUAUUAGCUAGUUGGUAGGGUAAGAGCCUACCAAGGCGACGAUUGAUAGCCGGCCUGAGAGGGUGACCGGCCACAUUGGGACUGAGACACGGCCCAAACUCCUACGGGAGGCAGCAGCUAAGAAUCUUCCGCAAUGGGCGCAAGCCUGACGGAGCGACGCCGCGUGGACGAAUAAUGCCGAGAGGUUGUAAAGUCCUUUUAUUUGCGAAGAAUAAUGCCUGUAGGUAAUGACAGGCAGAUGACGUUAGCUUAUGAAUAAGCUCCGGCCAAUUACGUGCCAGCAGCCGCGGUAACACGUAAGGAGCGAGCGUUGUUCGGAAUUAUUUGGGCGUAAAGGGCAUGUAGGCGGUUGUAUAAGUUCUGGUGUGAAAGGCCACAGCUUAACUGUGGAAACGCACUGGAAACUGUAUGACUUGAAUCAGAGAGGGGUAACUGGAAUUCCUAGUGUAGGGGUGAAAUCUGUUGAUAUUAUGAAGAACAUCGAUGGCGAAGGCAAGUUUACUGGCCUCAUGUAUUGACGCUGAGAUGCGAAAGCGUAGGGGAGCGAACAGGGAUUAGAUWCCCUGGUADUUUACGCUGUAAACGAUGUGCAMUUGGUGUCGGGGUUYUAAAGCCUUUGGUACCGUAGMUAACGCGUUAAGUGCACCGMYUGGGGAGUAUGCCGGCAACGGUGAAAHUCAAAGGAAUUGACGGGGGCCCGCACAAGCGGUGGAGCAUGUGGUUUAAUUCGAUGAUACGCGAGAAACCUUACCAGGGUUUGACAUAUUUAGGAUCGACGUAGAGAUACGUAAUUCCCUUCGGGGACAUUUAUACAGGUGCUGCAUGGUUGUUGUCAGCUCGUGCCGUGAGGUGUUGGGAAAAGUCCCGCAACGAGCGCAACCCCUAAUGUUUGUUACCAUCACUUUAGUUGGGGACUCAGGCAAGACUGCCGGUGACAAACCGGAGGAAGGUGGGGACGACGUCAAAUCAUCAUGGCCCUUAUAUCGUGGGCUACACACGUGCUACAAUGGCCAGUACAGAGUGAAGCGAAGCCGCGAGGUGGAGCAAAACGCAGAAAGCUGGUCUCAGUUCGGAUUGGAGUCUGAAACUAGACUCCAUGAAGGUGGAAUCGUUAGUAAUCGUGCAUCAGCAUGGCGCGGUGAAUACGUUCCCGGGCCUUGUACACACCGCCCGUCACACCACCCGAGUUGGGGGUACCGGAAGUCACUAGUCUAACCAGCAAUGGAGGACGGUGCCGAAGGUAUGCCUGGUAAGGGGGGUGAAGUCGUAACAAGGUAGC
rnacentral:rRNA from 1 species